AUUGAACGCUGGCGGUAUGCCUAACACAUGCAAGUCGAACGGUAACACGCCUUGGGCUGGCGCCGGCGGGUGGAGGGGGGCGGACGACAUAGGAAUGCAUCCGAUUGUGGUGGUUCACGGGGCGAAAGGUAUGCAAAUUUACGCUAAUAUCUAAGACUGAAAGCGGGGGACCGCAAGGGAUUGUCGGGCCUUGGCGGACGGUAUGAGCCGAUGUCGGAGGAGCUAGUUGGUGGGGUCAAGGCCCACCAAGGCGACGAUCCGUAGCUGGUCUGAGAGGAUGAUCAGCCACACUGGAACUGAGACACGGCCCAGACUCCUACGGGAGGCAGCAGUGGGGAAUAUUGGACAAUGGGCGCAAGCCUGAUCCAGCCAUGCCGCGUGGAGGAAGAAGGUCUUCGGGUUGUAAAGCGCUUUUGUACGGAAAGAAAAGCAUUCUGUUAAUACAGGGGUGUUAUGACGGUACCGAAAGAAUAAGCACCGGCUAACUUCGUG
rnacentral:rRNA from 1 species